rnacentral:rRNA from 1 species
CUUGACCUCAAAUCAG